UCGGAAACUGGGAGACUUGACUGCAGAAGAGGACAGUGGAACUCCAUGUGUAGCGGUGGAAUGCGUAGAUAUAUGGAAGAACACCAGUGGCGAAGGCGGCUGUCUAGUCUGUAACUGACGCUGAGGCUCGAAAGCAUGGGUAGCGAACAGGAUUAGAUACCCUGGUAGUCCAUGCCGUAAACGAUGAGUGCUAAGUGUUGGAGGGUUUCCGCCCUUCAGUGCUGCAGCUAACGCAUUAAGCACUCCGCCUGGGGAGUACGACCGCAAGGUUGAAACUCAAAGGAAUUGACGGGGGCCCGCACAAGCGG
rnacentral:rRNA from 1 species